ACUUUUAAAGGAUAGAAGCUAAUCCACUGGCCUUAGAAGCCACCCACCCUUGGUGCAAUUCCAAGUAAAAGUAA
rnacentral:tRNA from 1 species